CAUGGUUUGGUGUCGACUCUUCAUUUCCAAUCUCCUUGGCCUUGUGAUUCUCGAAUGCAGUACCUAUGCCCGACGCGGGUGGUGCUUCCUCUUCGUCUCAGGUUUAUUGUGGUGGCAGCAGGAGAAGCCACAGCAAGCAGCUGCUUGGUUUCUAGAUUCUCCAAAGAAAUCCUGAUUGGCUUCCCAACCAGAGGAGGUUAUUAUGGAAAGGACAACUAGCUCGGUGCAUCCAAUCAUUUCUUUAUGUAUAAGAGAUCAAGAUCUUGUGCUCGUGUUCCCUUUGUGGUUAGAGUAGGAUCUAUAGAAAAGUUGUGCAUUUUUAGAUGAGAAUUAUACAGCAAAUUUUAAGGUGGAAAAUGUGAAAGCGAUACGCUGAGAGGAGCGGAAACAUAAUGAGUUCAAUAGUUUGGGUCCUCCCGGGAUCGAUCAUGCUUAGCUUGCUCUCCGUAGGCUUCCUUCCUGGUAGCAGAGUCUUUUGGAAUCAUUCACUUGCCGACACUUCCUCCAGGUGUAUUCCUGCUUGCGCAUCUGAAUGCUCGGACGUACGCGCAUGCCAACACACGCGGCAAGUGCGUGCUUGGGGGGUAACGUGAUGUAUAUAAAGUAGUUUGUAUGUCUCCGC
rnacentral:lncRNA from 1 species